CCGGUCUCCGGGGUCGACGACAUAGCGGGGUAAGGUCUUCACGUCUGAGGAAGAGAUCUGUGGCUGCGGGAGAUCUCUGCGGAUUGGGGCUCCAGCCUGACUGACCCGACAGUGCGGGUGGCCUAGGGGGAGGCGCUCAGAGUAGGAACCCGGGGGUGCAGACGGGAUCUGCCGGAUCCCCAGGCGUGUGUGUGCGCGGGUAUCAGAGGAGGGGGAUUGUGAGAUCAUGAGUGACGGAGGGGACUGUGAGUGUGUGCGUGAGGUUCUAUGCACAGGCCCGGGAGGGCGUGUGGACGCAGCGCACUUUGCUGAGUGACACUGUGCCGGUGCCCCUAGGCUCCUGCUGCUUCCUCCCUCUUUCCGCUUCACAGCUGCGGGGACUGCAGCAGAGGAAUGGCCCCAGUAGGGAGGUCAGAUAUUGAGCCGAGAAUGAAGCUUUACACAAGAAAGCGCAGAAGUGCCCCCGAGUGUUCCCCAGGGGGGCAGCUACAUGUUGAGAACCACAGCGUCCUCAGAGCUCUGUCCCCAGAAACCAGCUCCAAACUGGUUGUACUGGUUGAAUCGAUUCCUCUUCCUUUUACUUCCUUCCUAUUUCGUGUGAAGUGAGGGAAAUUGUGGCUAUGGAGGGAGGGUGUUUUCAAACUUAGUCUGCGCUCCAAGAAAUGCCUGGAGUCUCACGCUUGCCGUAUCCUUCUCCAGUCGUAUUUUUAUCCAAAAGAAGGACCUGGAGGAGGAUGAGAGCGUUACUGCUGCACACCUAAAGUCAAGGGUGAGUUUGUGCUUUGUAUUUGUUCAAGACAUGCGUUUUUGAUUUUAGAAUAUUGAGAUUUCCCCUUAAAUUUUCAGUGAAACUAGGGGGAUAUGCAAAUUGAUUCGUGCCCCCUCCUUCACCUUUCCACUUAAUAGUCACAAAACAAUUUGGCAAAUCGUUCACACCUUCCUGUGCGCUCUCUUUUUCGAAGCUGGUAUAGAAAUACACCUCCAGUAGUUAAUAUUAAAGCUCCAUUUUAGACCCAUAUUUGGGAAGGAGGAGAUUAGUGUUUAGGUGGAAUCACACACUAGACAUCAGUUGGUCUUUACAGACCUCCUUUUCAAAACAGGGAAGAAUGGAGAUGGUUGGAUGAUCUCCAUUGCCUGUGAGGCAUUCGGUAGUGGAAAAGUGACCGCACAGAAAUUGGUAUCAACAAGAGCCAGGAUUUUUCCAGGGAGUCCAUGAGAUGAUAUUUGUAAUACUUGCCAGAUCUCUCUGAGGUUUGGCAGCUCCAGUUGUGUUUUAGGCGUGUGUGUGUGAGUGUGUGUGUGUGUGUGUGUGUGUGUACUGUGAGAGGCAGUACACUGUUGUGGUUAAGAAUAGGGGAGUGGAUCCAGAGUAUCUGGGUUGGAAUAUUGGUUCUGUCAUUAGAAUGAAUUAAUAUCGUAAAGCCCCUUAGAGCAGUGCUAGGCAUAUAAUAAUGUUUAAUAUGUUUUAACUGUUGUUUUUUGUGUAGUCAUUUUAAGUCAUUCCCCUUGACUCUCUACAGAACAGGAGCAUUGGGAAUAUGUGAUUCAUUGCGACUGCUGGUUGUAUAUUAAGAAAAUGAGUGAGGGGCUCAAAUGAUCUAGGACAGAAAUUCUUUCUUUUUAAAUCGACAGAUAUAAUUGUAUGUAUUUAUCAUGUGCAACAUGAAGUUUUAUGGUAUGUAUACAUUGUGGAAUGACUAAAUCUAGCUAAUUAACAAUGCAUUACCUCACAUAGUUAUCAUUUUUGUGGUGAGAACACUUAAUAUCCACCCUCCUAGCAUUUUUCAAGACUACAGAAUAUUGUUAUUAAUUGGAGAUACCCUGUUGUGUAAUAGAUCUCCUGAACUUAUUUCUCUUAUCUUCCUGAAAUUUUGUAUCCUUUGACCAACAUUUCCCCAGUCAACACUGCCCUCCUUCCUCCCUCACCCACAUUACCCCAGAUCUGUAAAUACGAUUCUACUCUCCACUUCUAUGAUAUCAACUUUUUUAGAUUUGGCUGAAGAGUGAGAUCAUAUGUCUUUCUGUGCUUGGCUUACUUCACUUAAUAUGAUGUUCUCCAGGUUCAUCCAUGUUUUUGCAAAUGACAGAAUUUCCUGCUUUUUAUGGCUAAAUAGUAUUCCCUUGUGUAAAUAUACCUGCAUAUAUACCACAUUUUCUUUAUCCAUUUAUUCAUUGUUAGACGCGUAGGUUGAUGCCAUAUCUUGGCUAUUGUGAAUAAUGCUGCAAUAAACAUGGGUAUGCUGAUAUCUCUUUGACAUACAGAUUUCAUUUCCUUUGGAGAUAUAUUCCCAGUAGUGGGAUGGCUGGAUCAUAUGGUAGUUCUAUUUCUAAUUUUUUGAGGAACCUCCAUACUGUUUUCCAUAAUGGCUGUGCCCAUUUACAUUCUCACCCACAGUGUGUAAGCGUUCCCCUUUUCUUGCCAAUACUUGUUAACAUUUGUCUUUCCAGUAGCCACCCUAACAGGUAUGAGCUAAUAUCUUAUUGCGGGUUUAAUUUUCAUUUCCCUGAUGAUUAGUGAUGUUGAGUAUUUUUUCAUAAACUGUUGGCCAUUUAUAUGUCUUCUUUUGGGAUGUGCCUGUUCAGGUCCUUUGCCCAUCUUUUAAUCAGGUUUUUUUUUGCUGUUGAGUUGUUUGACUUCUGCAUACAUUUUGGAUCUUAAUCUCUUAUCAUAUAUAUGGUUGCAAAUAUUUUCUCUCAUUCUACAAGAUGUCUCUUCACUUUGUUGAUUGUUUCCUUUUCUGUGCAGAAGCUUUUUAGCUUGACAUAAUUUCAUUCGUUCAUUUUUGCUUUUGUUACCUGUGCUUUUGAGGUCAUAUCCCAAAAAAAAUCAUUGCUCAGAUCAGUUUCACAGAGCUUUCCCCCUAUGUUUUCUUCUAUUUGUUUCAUAGUUUAGGAUCUUACAUUUAAGUCUUUAAUCUGUUUAGAGUUGAUGUUUGUAUAAUGGUUUGAGAUAAGGGUCUAAUUUCAUUUUUCUGCAUAUGGAUACCUACUUUUCACAACAGUAUUUUUUGAAGAGUCUCUCUUUUCCCCAUUGUAUGUUCUUGGUACCCUCCUCAAAACUCGGUUGGUUAUAAAUAUAUGGAUUUAUUCUGGGCCUCUCUAUUCUGUUUCUUUGGUCUAUGUGUCUGUUUUUAUGUCAGUACCUUGUUGUUUUGGUUACUAUAGCUUUGUAGUAUAUCUUGAAGUCAGAUAGUUUUGAUGAGUCCAACUUUGUUCCUUUUGCUCAAGAUUGCUUUGGCUAUUUGGGUCUUUUGUGGUUCUAUACAAAUUUUAGCAUUUUUGUUUUUUUCCUGUUUCUGUAAGGAAUGUAGGACAGAAAUUCUUAACCUGAGUUCCUGUGACUCCAUUUAUGGUCUCAGGGACCAAAAGCUCUUGAAAUAAAAUAUUGAAGUAUUAUAGAAAUUUAUAAAUGUGGGUUUUAGGGGGAGAAAUAGUGUAUCAUUUCAUAAGAUUAUCAAAAAAAUUUAUGUGACCCAUGAGGUUUGGAUCCAUUGAUCUAGAUAGAACAUUGGUUCUCAGCUGGGGUGAUGUUUAGAAACUUUCGGUUGUCAUGCUGUCGGGGAGGGUGCUACUUAGAUCUAAUGGAUAGAGGUCAGGAAUGCUGCUAAACAUUGUGUUAUGCACAGGAUAGCUCUCCCCACUCUCCCAUCUAAGAAUUAUCCAGCACAAUAUGUCAGUAGUGCCUAGGGUGAAAAACUGUAGUCCAGAAUCAAAAGAUUGUGAUAUCUGGAAUGACAUUGUAAAUGAUCUUGUAUAAAAUAAGUGUCCUAUAAUACAGAAAUCAUUAAGCUAAUCAUACUAGACUCAAGUGAUAGAGUAUUACACAGGUAAUAAAAUGAUGUCUAUAAGGAAUUAUGAAAAGAAAAAUAUUUGAUAUAUCAUUAAGCAAUAUUCAUGCUAUGAACAAUAAUACUCAAGAAAAUGUUACAUGGGGCGGGGCGCGGUGGCUCACACCUGAAAUCCCAGCACUUUAGGAGGCUGAGGCAGGCAGAUCAUUUGAGGUCAGGAGUUUGAGACCAGCCUUGCCAACGUGGUGAAACCUUGUCUCUACUAAAAAUAUAAAAACUAGCCGGGAGUGGUGGCAGGCGCCUAUAAUCCCAGCUACUCAGGAGGCUGAGGCAGGAGAAUUGUUUGAACCUGGGAGGCUGAGGUUGCAGUGAGCCGAGAUCAGGCCACAGCACUCCAGCCUGGGUGACAGAGUGAGACUCCACCCCUGCCCCCCAAAAAGAAAUUGUUAUGUUUUAUAUGAAUCCCAUAUACUAAGAUAGGGUUUUUGUAUAAGAAUUCUAUAAGAAUUCUAUCUGAAGGCAUUCUAUAAGAAUUAUAUCUAAAAUAAUAUUUUAAUUGGUUAUUUGGUGAAGAAGGGAACCAAGCAUGGUGGUGUAUAUUUCACAAAUUUUCUCACAUAGUUUGCAAAUGCCACUUAUCUGCAUUGUGUUCAUUCAAAGAAGAAUCUUGAUAAUGAGAAUAUCUAAUUAUAUUGGUGAGAUACAGCUAAAGGAUAUUAGAACUAGCUGAUGUUAUUUGUUGUAGUCACUUUAACCUCUUUUGUUGAAUCUCGUGACAGGCUCAGGUUUUUUUCCUGAUAACUCUGUUUUUAUUUUUUACUUCAAAAGUAGAAAUAGACUAUCAUUAAUGCAUACAAGACAUUGGUUGGGGACUUGUAGACAAUUUUUUCUAGAGAUUGCUCCAACAUACAUAGAAAAACAUAGACAUCUUAGUGUUGGUCAAGAAUUGGAAAAUAAAGGAAACAAACUUGUUAAGUAAAAACAACAGUUCAUUAGAGUAUGCUGAUUUCCCACCCCAAGUUCAAAGGGAGAUAUCUAAAUAAAAAGUGUCUUUCAUCUAAUUUGGAGAAGUUUCCUCAUAGGAAAGAAAUGUGUAUGUACAUUUAUAUAUGUCCAUAUAUAGAGAUGCAUACACACACACACACACAUAUAUAUAUAUAAAUAUAUAUAUACACACACACAUAUAUAUAUACACACACGUGUGUGUGUGUGUGAAUAUAACUAUAUAUAUUCCAAGUUAAUGCUUGGAUGUAGUUACAAUUUUUUUUUAUAUGAAGGCUCGCUCUGUUGCCAGGCUGGAGUGCAGUGGCACGAUCUCAGCUUACUGCAACCUCCGCCUCCUGGGUUCAAGCGAUUCUCAUGCCUCAGCCUCCUGAGUAGCUGGGAUUAUAGGCAUGCACCACCACACCCAGCUAAUUUUUGUAUUUUUAGUAGAGACGAGGUAUCACCAUGUUGGCCAGGUUGGUCUCGAUCUCCUGACCUCGUGAUCUGCCUGCCUCAGCCUCCCAAAGUGCUGGGAUUACAAGUGUGAGCCACCGUGCCCGGCCAUGAAAUGCUCUUAAGCAAAAAGAAGAAAAUUGGAGCUACAAUACACAGAGGAGAACUCUUAACAUGUAUAUAAUUUUCUAAAUUUUUUUCUAUUAAUGUCUGUUAGUCUUUUUAUUAGUAUUUCUAUAUACAUAUAUUUUACAAAUGUAAUCAUAUUAUCUAUCCUGUUUUGUAACCUGAUUUUUCUGUUAAUCAUAUAUCUUGAACGUUUAAUAUUUACUUUGUAUUCUAUUAAGUGGAUGUUCUGAACUGUAUUAACCAACUGGCUUUUGCUGAAUUUAGAAUGCUGAACACUGUCAGUGCAAUUUGGUGCAAACACUGCCAGUGCAAAUAUGCUUUCCAGUUCUCAUGCCUUCCCCCACUGCACCCAAUCCUGAUUUCACAAAGAGGUUCUGGUUUGGAUGAUGCAAUCCCUUCUCAGCUCUGAAAGGUGGGACUGGGGGAGGAGGAUCUGCUAAGGGCAGGAUCAGAGGUCCAGACCUAGGCCAAGAUAGGUAUCCCAAGAAUGGAGGACUGGCUGGAAGCCACAACUUCAAGGCAGAAAUGCCUGUGCUCGGCAUUCAUGCUUCUGCCGCAGGUUCCCUGGGAUGCAGGCGAGAGCUUGGUUUCAUCCCUACUCCACCCGUUCACUGCCAGCUAUUUGUGAGAGAGUGUGUGUGGGGGCAAGGGGAGUGAUGGGAGAAGGGUGGAAGUGUGCGUGUUAGCAGGAGUAGUUGAGAAAUAGGAACGGAGGAUAAAAUAGUUAUUUGCUUUUGAGACACAGCUUUAAUUGUGGCCUUUUUGUUGUUGUUGUUUUCCAGGGGAGAAGCCCGAGGAAGAUUGACCAGUUUUGUAAUUCUAGCAACAUGGUCCAUGUAAGUUUGUAUUUCUCUCUUUUCCUUGAAAUAUGGUGACUUUCAGGUUAGGUGACUGUUAUUAUUUAACCUGAAGCUUCGUACCUAGAAUUCACGAUCUUACACCCCAGUUUGUCCCAUUACAGUGAAGGUUGGUGACAAAAAAAAAAAAAGUCACUGCUCUUCCUAUUUGUACCUCUGUUUCCUACUGGCUUUGAUGUUUUCUUUGAAAAAGUUAUUCAGUCUGUGCUCUGUGCUCAGACCUUGGUCAGGAAGAAUAUUGGAACAGUGGAGGAAUCAGUCCCCACAGGGAAACAGGGUCUUAUGGGUUUGAUAAGUUACAGAUGAUUGACCACACUUGGGAACACUUUGAAACUUUACAGACUAGAGCUUUCCAGGUAGCUAAGGUAGAAUUCCAUAGUGAGUAGCCUCAGUCUGCAAGUGUGACAAGGUGAUCUGCUUUAUGAGGCUUUUAGGAAAAUGAUAGGUGAGGACAGUGGGCAGUAGCAGGGAGAAGAUAAUUCAGGGCAUGAAUGAUAGGUGAUUACAGAUUCUCUGGCUGGACAUGGUGGCUCACGCGUGCAAUCCCAGCACUUUGGGAGGCCGAGGUGGGUGGUGGAUCACUUGAGGUCAGGAGUUUGAGACCAGCCUGGCCAACAUGGUGAAACCCCAUCUCUUCUAAAAAAAGAAAAAAAAAAAUUAGCCUGUUGUGGUGGUGCGCACCUGUAAUCCCAGCUGCACAGGAGGCUGAGGCAGGAGAAUCGCUUGAACCUGGGAGGUGGAGGUUGCAGUGAGCUGCGAUCGUGCCACUGCACUCCAGCCUGGGUAACAGAGUGAAAUUCUGUCUCAGAAAAAAAAUAAAAAAUAAAAAAUUCUCAGAAUUGGGGAAAUCCUUAGAGGCCCUGGCCAUCCUCAACGUAUAAAUAGAAAAAAAAUGAAUAAAUCUAAUAUGUGAGUUCUAUUGACUUUAAUGCAGCUUAUAAAAAUCAGUUGUCAUGACAAGAAAAAAUACUUUUGCUGUCAUCUCAUACCAUAAUGAACUUGAGGAUUAAGAACAUUCUUUAAUUGUAUGCCACCUUUUUUUUUUUUUUUUUUUUUCUCUGAGACAGAGUCUUGCUCUGUGGCCCAGGCUGGAGUGCAGUGGCGUGAUCACAGUUCACUAUAGCCUUGAACUCCUGGGCUCAAGCAAUACUCCUACCUCAGCCUCCCGAGUAGCUGGGACUACAGGUACGUGAUACCACACACAGUUACUUAUUUAAUUUUUGCAGAGAUGGGAUAUCAUUAUGUUGCCCAGGCUGGUCUCAAAUUUCUAGGCUCAAGCAAUCCUCCUAUCUCUGCCUCCCAAAGUGCUGGGACUAUAGGCAUAAGCCACCAUACUCAGCCAGCAGGAGACUUCUUGAAGAAUGUGCAGGCACUCUGUGAAUUUCCAUAUUGCUUUUUUCUUACACUACACUCCUUCACUUCCUCUCCUUUCAUCUUAAAACAACUUUCUUCAGUUUCACCAUUAUACAUGUGUUUGUGGUUUCAGGGAUCAGUGACAUUCAGGGAUGUGGCCAUUGACUUCUCUCAGGAGGAGUGGGAGUGCCUGCAGCCUGAUCAGAGGACCUUGUACAGGGAUGUGAUGUUGGAGAACUACAGCCACCUGAUCUCACUGGGUAAGGUCGUUGAGUCCCAGCUAUUUUUAUAUCUAUUUUCUGGAAUAUCAGCUUUCUUCACCGUGAAUUUCAGGGCUAUCUUUUAAGAGGUGGCUGAAUUCCUUCUUCUUGUUCCCAAAGGAAUGGAUUGGGAUUUGUUGGGUUGAAAACAGGCACCUCCCUGGAGCCCCUGCAUCUUGCCUACUCCACAAUGGCCUCCUUCGUUACGCUGGUCCUCUCUGUAAUUGCCUCUCUCUUCAUGACCAUGGGGCUGAAUUUGAAAUCUUGUACAUUCAUUGAAAGAUAUUGUCUAAGAACCAGAUUUCAUAUUAUGUUUGAUCUCAGAAUUACUGUAGAUUUUCUGUUUGUUGGUUUGUUUUUGUUUUUCUAACCCAUCUGUAAGGAGAAGAGUGUCUUGAAUUUUUCUAUCAGAGAAACCUCUAUGAUCACUGGGAGGUUGAGGCUGCAGUGAGCUGUACCCAUCACUGCACUCCAGCCUGGGCAAUAGACCGAGACCCUGUCUCAAAACCAAAAACAAACAAACAAAAAUGUCUGUUAUUUACGUAUACUGAUUGGGUUGACAGAAAUUCAUUUAACACUAAAGGGAAUGCAUUUCAUUUCCUUCAAUAAACAUUCCAUUGUUUUGCAGUUGAAAGUUUCAGACCAUGGAGUUUAUGUAUUUUCAUUUAGUGAAUAUACUGAGUGAGCUAUAAAUGUCUAAGGAUGCAAAAUAAAUGACAAUAAUAAACAAUAAUUCUUGACUUUGUGCUACUGUACAUCAGGCAAUGUUAGAAGUAUUUUGCAUAUAUAUAACUUAUUUUGUCUUAGUAUCAAUCCUAUAAAAUAGGUAUUGUAUCAUCCCCAUUUUAGAGUUGGGAAAACUGAAGGACAGAGUUUAAGUGACUUACCUGAGGUCAUACUGCUAGUGAGUAGCAGAGAUAGGAUUUGAACCUGGCAGUCUGGAUUGAAGUUUCCUGCUCUCAACCAUUCAGUUAUACCUCUUUUCAAGGGAUAAGAUUCUGAGUUUAAAUGAAAGGAAGUCCUUUUCUAACAUAGUUAGAAAAGAGUUCUCUUACUCAACCUCUCACUCUUAUCUGAAGUCUCUUUUCAAUAUUGUUUUGACUUGUAAUUUAUUGUAAGUUUAAGCAGGUCACAAAGAUUUGAAAAAAAAAAAUCUGUAUUAAAAAAAUUCUACAUGUGUCGUUUCUUUUAAGCAGGAAGUUCCAUUUCUAAACCAGAUGUAAUUACGUUACUAGAGCAAGAGAAAGAGCCCUGGAUGGUUGUAAGGAAAGAAACAAGCAGACGGUAUCCAGGGGAGAAGCCCGAGGAAGAUUGACCAAUUUUGUAAUUCUAGAAACAUGGUCCAUGGAUCAGUGACAUUCAGGGAUGUGGCCAUUGACUUCUCUCAGGAGGAGUGGGAGUGCCUGCAGCCUGAUCAGAGGACCUUGUACAGGGAUGUGAUGUUGGAGAACUACAGCCACCUGAUAUCACUGGGUAAGGUCAUUGGUCCCAGUUAUUUUUGUAUCUGUUCUCUGGAAUAUCAGCUUUCUUCAUCAUGAGUUUCAGGGCUGUCUUUUAAGAGGUAGUUGGAUUCCUUCUUCUUAUUCCCGAAGGAAUGGAUUGAGAUUUGUUGGGUUGAAAACAGGCACCUCCUUGGAGCCUCUGCAUCUUGCCUACUGCACCAGGGCCUCCUCCAUUAUGCUGGUCAUCUCUGUAAUCCCCUCUCUCUCUUCAUGACCAUGGGGCUGAAUUUGAAAUCUUGUAUAUUCGUUGAAUGAUAUUGUUCAAGAACCAGGUUUCAUAUUAUGUUUGAUCUCAGAAUUACUGUAGAUUUUCUUUGUUUGUUUUUGUUUUUCUGGCCCACCUGUAAGGAGAAGAGUGUGUUGAGUUUUUCUAUUAAAAGAGCCUCUAUGAUUGCUUGAACCUGGGAGGUCAAGGCUGCAGAGAGCCGUGGUCAUGCCACUGUACUUCAGCCUGGGCAACAGAGCAAGACACUGUCUCAAAAAAACAAAACAAAACAGAGCCUCAAUGAUUUACAUAUACUGAUUGGGUUGACAGAACUUAUUUAGCACUAAGUCAGUAUAUUCCAUUUCCUUCGACAGACCUUCC
rnacentral:lncRNA from 1 species